AAAGCACAUACUCUUUUUGUUCUCUGUCAAAGACCCAACCCAAAGAGAUUUUUUUUUUUCUCUCUCUCAGGUUCAGUCGAGAAGGGAUCAAGGCUAGGGAUAUUUGGGCAUCCCUUUCUGUGUUUGAGUUGGAUUUGAUUUUAUUCAUAUUCCAGUUGAUUCAAUUCACAUCGACAAGAAACUUGUGGGGGUUGAACCCAGGGUUUCAGUCCGUUUACGAGUACGAGCUUUCAACCCCGCACUGAUCGAAGGGACGGAUCCCGAAUUCAUGCUCGUACUACUCGCCAAGAGUGGGUUCCAAGGGCAUCUACUGCUACCGUUGUGAACCCUCCGUCGAGUUUUAAUUCAAACCCUAAUGGCAAUGGCGGAGACUCGAAUUAUAGUUCUGCCCCGCCAGAGAGUCGGCAUAGAGGUGAUUUCAUUCAGAGAAGCUAUGUUGCCCGGCCUUCUCAUCCGCGGAGGGAAGCGGAGAAUCACGCGCCCAAGGGAUUGAAUAUGCCGCAGCAUGUGCAGGAAAUUCAAGACAAGCUCACCAAGGGGACUGUCGAAUGCAUGAUCUGUUACGAUAUGGUGCGGAGGUCAGCGCCAAUAUGGUCGUGCUCCAGCUGUUACUCCAUUUUCCAUCUCAACUGUAUCAAGAAAUGGGCUCGAGCACCGACUUCUAUUGAUUUGUCCGUAGACAAGAACCACGGCUCAAAUUGGCGGUGCCCUGGUUGCCAAUCUGUACAGCUCCUCAACUCUAAACAGAUUCGAUACGUUUGCUUUUGUGGGAAGCACCCUGAUCUUCCA